rnacentral:lncRNA from 1 species
GACGAAAAGAAAACUGCAGAUUGCAAAAGAGAGAGAAAGGUUGAAUUCCUUGGUUACAAAAGGCAAAAAUGAUUUUUCCCCUAGAGUGUUGCCUUUUAUGGGCAAAGGCUCCAAAUCCUAGCCGUUAGAUGUUGAUCCGAAUCAUCUGGUCGCUCAUUACAAAUUAAAUCUGAGCCACUAACCAUAUAUGUCGUUUUACCUUCAACGGCUCAGAUCAGAACGUCUAAAUUGCUUGCUCCAAUGCGUUUGAACCACAGAUUGCACGCCCACGACAGUCAUCAUUGCACAUUAAAUGCUGCAACGAUUGCGUGAUGGGAACUCGAACCGCCUCAGCCAUCUUUUCUAGGAAGUGCAUAAGACAGCCAAUCAUGUCAGCACAAUUAUUAAGGAUGCCUUAUAUUCAUCAAUGCUAAACUGGUAGGCCUUAUCAGCCUGAUUACCUACAACUUCGCCCAAAUUGAUAAAGCACACCACCUCUACUACAACACAUAUGACUUAGGCAUAACCAGGUUUGCAUAGUAAAACCCUCGGUCAAAUGGACAUCUACUCCAUUUUAGCUUCAAAAUAAAAUGACCCAAGGCACUUUGGCAAAUAAUCUUGAUGAGAGCUUCAAGUAAUUCAUUACAUUUAAUUUACAAACUUUAAUUUUUAUAUAAAUAUUCACAAAUUAGACUUGGGGACUAUUGUUAACCCUCAUAUAUAAAGAUCUCAAGGAAAGCCAC